UACGUAGGGGGCAAGCGUUGUCCGGAUUUAUUGGGCGCAAAGAGCGUGUAGGCGGCUAGAUAGGUCCGUUGUGAAAACUCGAGGCUCAACCUCGAGACGUCGAUGGAAACCAUCUGGCUAGAGUCCGGAAGAGGAGAGUGGAAUUCCAGGUGUAGCGGUGAAAUGCGUAGAUAUCUGGAGGAACACCGGUGGCGAAGGCGGCAUCCUGGACCGGUAUUGACGCCUGAGGCGACGAAAGGCCAGGGGAGACAAAGCGGGG
rnacentral:rRNA from 1 species